CAAGCUUGCAUUGAGGUUACAAAGUGGCAA
rnacentral:piRNA from 1 species